rnacentral:lncRNA from 1 species
GGAUCGCUUUCACGCCCUCCACGCGCGCAGGAGCGGCUGGAGGGCUCCGGCGCUGCAGGUGUCCAGCCAAGGGCGGUGUGGAAAGUUUGCGAAGCCUUAAGGGACAAGGGACGGACCUUGUUCUCCUCCGGGCUCCAGAGUAUCCGGGAGAAGAUCUCCUCCUCCUCCUCUUUCUCAGCCCGCGGGGGAUCGGAGCUAAGAUGAGGGAUCAGAAACAGCUGGCUUGCUUCUUCAUGACGUGUCAGGAAAACGUAUUGUGGGAGCUGAGAUGGUUUGAUUGAUGCAAGUUUGGAAACAAGGAGUUUCUCUGUUCAUGAACUCAAGAAGUUGUGAGUAAUUAAGAAGAUGAAGAAUGUAUGUAGUGUACUUUGGAGAUUCGUCUUCAGAUAAUGCACUUCUUUAGACUGAAGAUUCCAAUCUGCAUUUCUCAGGGAGAAAUUGGGGGAAAUGGAGACACCUUCCAGGAAAAACUACUGAAGAGGUGGUGGAAGAAAUUCUGGAAAGAAGAAAACAGUCACUGGAACCCAGCUAGAAUCAACUAAGAGAAGCGAUGUGAAUAAUACACAUUGACAGGUAAGGCAAAAAAAAUAACUCUACAGUUUUUGACUUUGGAUAUAUAAGCAACACCUACACAUUCACUCUUAACAUGAAUGUACAUUUCUUUGGCUGACUCUCUCUCACCUCAUGAUUUGAUCCUACUCUCCACAUCCUGAGACCUGAUGAGGACAAGAGGAGGUGGCCACUUGUAGAUACUCAACAGUUUUGAUUCACUUGUUUUGUUUUUAUCUUUACCAAUUGUUUAGCAAACGGG